CAACACAAGGGACAGCAAAGACAAGCAAACAAAGAGCCAGUGCCACCUCAGCCCCCUACAGACUGACUGAAAUGAGCACGGGGAGAAAAACAGUGAAAUAAAGAGGGGGAAGAGUUUGGGUAAUGCUGCACACAAGCAUCAAUGGCAGCACACAAGCAUCAAUGGCAUGCUAAUGGUUAAAAUCCAACUUGGGGUGAAACCGUUUGAUUUAUAUAAACAGAGGAAUAUCUGGUUCAUUUUUGGUUUUGUUGUUAUAUGUAACAACAAACACGGCUGCUGAAAAUUCACAGGAAUUAAUUACAUUUUAAAAUACUUAAUUUUAAAUUGUAAUAAUAUAUUGCAUUUUCUUUUUAACAAAUUUUACAGACCCCAAACUUGGUUAAACUUAUUAUAGAAGAGACAAAAGAAUAAAUAAAAGAUAAUUACAUUUUCAAGAAAGACAAAUUAUUAAUUCUUAAAAACCGUUAUUAUAUACAAAAAGUACUGGGACACUUUGUGAUUGUGAAAUGUUAUGAUGAUCUACACUUGUGGUUUCUCUACUAGGACAGUUUCUAAAAAUCACAAAAACACCAGCUGAUUAAAAGACACUGACCUAAAAUAAUGCUACAAGUAAAGUUAGGUCUGAGAAAAGCUGCUGCAGCACUUCAGUCCAGAUGAUACUUGGUGGGAAAUUAAGUUUCUGUUGCAGUCACAUUUAGACAAAUAUGUAGUACUUCUCUGAAGCCACAGGAUAUGCAGAUAUAAUAUCACUGUCUCUUCAAAUGCAAUGCUCAGCUUUCUUUGCACUAGUUUGUCAAGCUACAGACGACUCACCGCUGACCUCCAGUGUUCACACGCAAAGCUCGCGUGAGUUAAUAAAUGCACAUACUGUAUAUAAUAAAUAAAUAAAUAAAUAUAUAUAUAUAUAUAUACAUUAUAUAAACAAAUACUAUUUAUGUAUAUGAAUAGUUCCAAUGCAAAAGCCUCUAAAAGCCAUCUUGGUCAAAAUUGAGAUAACGAUGCUGAGUGAAUGCUCUCCACACAUAGUAUGUUCAUAAAAUACUUUCACUUCAUUUCACUUCAAAUGUGCAAAAGUCCAGCCUCAACC
rnacentral:lncRNA from 1 species